rfam:Desulfobacula sp. RIFOXYB2_FTLL_45_6 rifoxyb2_full_scaffold_15876, whole genome shotgun sequence.
GCGCCCGUAGCUCAGCUGGAUAGAGUAUCUGACUACGAAUCAGGGGGUCGGGGGUUCGAAUCUCUCCGGGCGCG